AAAGGUUGACCUCGGAUCAGGUAGGAAUACCCGCUGAACUUAAGCAUAUC
rnacentral:rRNA from 3 species